UACGAAGGGGGCUAGCGUUGCUCGGAAUCACUGGGCGUAAAGCGCACGUAGGCGGCUUACUAAGUCAGGGGUGAAAUCCUGGAGCUCAACUCCAGAACUGCCUUUGAUACUGGUGAGCUUGAGUCCGGAAGAGGUGAGUGGAACUGCGAGUGUAGAGGUGAAAUUCGUAGAUAUUCGCAAGAACACCAGUGGCGAAGGCGGCUCACUGGUCCGGUACUGACGCUGAGGUGCGAAAAGCGUGGGGAGCGAACAGG
rnacentral:rRNA from 1 species